rnacentral:rRNA from 1 species
GCGAUCAUUCCAGCACUAAUGCACCAGAUCCUAUCAGAGCUCCGAAGUUAAGCGUGCUUGGGCGAGUGCAGUACUAGAAUGGGUGACCCCUUGGGAAGUCCUCGUGUUUCACCU